rnacentral:snRNA from 1 species
GACUUUCAGAAGUGACAUCCGAUAAGAUUGAAACUAUACAGAGAAGAUUAGCAUGGCCCUUGCGCAAGGAUGACAUUCACAAAUCGAGAAAUAGCCUAUGAUAAU